rnacentral:rRNA from 1 species
AUGAACGCUGGCGGCGUGCCUCAUACAUGCCAGUCGAGCGCACAGACGAGGAGCUUGCUCCUCUGACGUUAGCGGCGGACGGGUGAGUAACACGUGGAUAACCUACCUAUAAGACUGGGAUAACUUCGGGAAACCGGAGCUAAUACCGGAUAAUAUAUUGAACCGCAUGGUUCAAUAGUGAAAGACGGUUUUGCUGUCACUUAUAGAUGGAUCCGCGCCGCAUUAGCUAGUUGGUAAGGUAACGGCUUACCAAGGCGACGAUGCGUAGCCGACCUGAGAGGGUGAUCGGCCACACUGGAACUGAGACACGGUCCAGACUCCUACGGGAGGCAGCAGUAGGGAAUCUUCCGCAAUGGGCGAAAGCCUGACGGAGCAACGCCGCGUGAGUGAUGAAGGUCUUCGGAUCGUAAAACUCUGUUAUUAGGGAAGAACAAAUGUGUAAGUAAUUAUGCACGUCUUGACGGUACCUAAUCAGAAAGCCACGGCUAACUACGUG